GCCCUGUUGGCUUAGUGGCAAAGCGCAUCACUAGUAAUGAUGAGAUCACUGGUUCGACUCCAGUACAGGGCA